rnacentral:rRNA from 1 species
AUGCACAAGUGUGGAAGAAGUGGAAUUAAGGGCCUAGUUUGUCAGUCUCUACAUAGGUAUUACACUUCAUAUGCCUAUUAUUUUGGAGAUUGUUGUUCUUUUGUGGCAUCCUCUCUUGCGAAGGAUAACUUUACCGAAAAAGGCUGGCGCCCCACUUUAUUGAUGAAGCAACAACUAAUCAUACAUCCAAAAUAUACAACUCGACACCAAACCCACACACUAAAGACAAGAUACAAGGGUGAAAGGAGAACAACUAAACUACCCCAAACAAACUACCAGAGGAAGCUACUUGAAGUCUCUGAAAUAACUUUGCUUGAAAGGAUAACUUUGAUAGGUCCCCACUCGUGGAUCUGA